UACGUAGGGGCUAGCGUUGUCCGGAUUUAUUGGGCGUAAAGAGCGUGUAGGCGGCUUUACAGGUCCGUUGUGAAAACUCGAGGCUCAACCUCGAGACGCCGGUGGAAACCGUAAAGCUAGAGUCCGGAAGAGGAGAGUGGAAUUCCUGGUGUAGCGGUGAAAUGCGCAGAUAUCAGGAGGAACACCCGUGGCGAAGGCGGUUCUCUGGGCCUUACCUGACGCUGAGGAGCGAAAGCGUGGGGAGCAAACAGG
rnacentral:rRNA from 1 species